rnacentral:lncRNA from 1 species
UUUUAGUAGAGACAGGGUUUCACCGUGAUAGCCAGGAUGGUCUCGAUCUCCUGACCUUGUGAUCCGCCUGCCUCGGCCUCCCAAAGUGCUGGGAUUACAGGCGUCAGCCACCACACCCGGCCAGAAGACUAAUAAGUUUAAGCCUAAAAAAAUGUAAGCCUCAGGAGACCUCAUUGGUACCAACCAGAAAUACAGAUCCUGAGCUGUGCUGCUGGAAUGGGCUCUGAUGGAAACCUGGCUGGUGGUGGAUGGGUCCCUCAUGAGCAUGGAGAAGGCAAUGAAGCAACUGGAAGUGCAGAGAACUGAGAAGGAGCGAGCUUUUGCCUGCAGAUUUCGAUGGGCAUUUUUGACUGUGCUACAAGAAGUACACACCCAGUUCCUGAAGGAUGCAGUGCAGAUGAGGAAGUAGAGGUGCAGAGACCAGGGAAAAAGGUCAAGAUCUCAAUGCUAACAGACAGAAUUGUGACCUGAUUUGAGGUGGCCUCUCUCCCCUGCAGUCUUUAGCACACUGAGCAGCUGGAGAAUGGUCACAUACCGCAGCAUCUCCCUUCACCGCCCCCUCCUGCCUGGCUCUGGAGUGAGCAUCACACCUGUGGUGCCUAUCAGCCCUGGGGGGACAGACUGCUGCUGCUUGUCGCCGAGUUCAGAAACCUCAGAGAAGCAUGUCGUCUCCGCUGGCAAAGCUCCCACCAGUACCCCGGAGCCCCAGCACGCUGAGAAGCAGAGGUCUCUGUGUCAGCAAGGUGGGAGAUGUGCUCCAGGCCCUCACCUCUGAUUCUCUUUUCCUUAGAAACUGUUAGAAAGAAAGCUUAGCAUCUAUCAGUCUCUUAAGAUCAUCGUUCACCUGGAUUUUGUCUACACAGCCAUUUGGUAUCUGGACUGGAUAACGAACCACCAUCUGUAACUCAAUUUGUAUGGGGAAAGUGUGUUUGGCACUCCAAACAUCUAAUUUACUAAGCACCAUUUGCAGCACGGCCUGUGUGUGUUAAGUGGAUUCCUGCCAGGGUAUGUGGACUGAGAUGAAUCAGGAAUCAGGAGCCUCAAAAUGAAAAGUGGAUUGGAUUCCUAAAUAUGGCUGUGGCUAUGCACAGGAACAGAUUUAGAGAAGUUAAACCCAUAGAUGGUUGAAUUCAGUAGAAAAAAAAAAAAACUAGCAAUUUGACGUGAUUCAACUAUUUCCUCACUCACUCACUCUGCUGGAACCAAAGUGGUUUAUCCUUUCUUUUAUCUAAUACUCCAAGAUAUCCUCAUAUAGAAAUGUAAAUCAGGCCACCACUGAGUGGGAAUGCAUCCCCAGAAAUGCUCCUGCACAGUGAGUGUUGAGUAAGGGAACAGCAGUUCAAUGUCCCUCCUGUUACCACACAGAAAUUUCUUUAAGAACUGGCUGAGAAAAUAUCUGUUUGACAUGACGUUAAAUCCUUUAAACCAGCAUGCUAUGCUAGACCACUAUUAUUCCUCUUUUUUUAUUUUGAGAUGGAGUUUCUCUCUUGUCCCCCAGGCUGGAGUGCAAUGGCGUGAUCUUGGCUCACCUCGACCUCCGCCUCCCAGGUUCAAGCAAUUCUCCUGCCUGAGCCUCCUGAGCAGCUGGGAUUACAGGCGUCCACCACCACGCCAGGCUAUUUUUUUUUUUUUUUUUUUUUGUAUUUUUAUUAGAGACAGGGUUUCACCACAUUGGCCAGGCUGGUCUCAAACUCCUAACCUCAGGUGAUCUGCCUGCCUCGGCCUCCCAAAGUGCUGGGAUUACAGGCAUGAGCCACUGCACCGGGCCUUUUUUUCUGGAAUAGUAGAGCAAACAACUUGAAGGAUACAUGUUUUGUGGGAUUCAUCUGGGGUUUAUUUCUUUGUAACUUGCCAAUUUCUUGUAACUGGCCAAAUCUUUGGAAGGAGAUUAGAAAUACAAAGAAACAAUACAGGAAAAAUAGCAAUUUUCUGUAGCUUUCCCAAAGGGACUGAGAAGUAAGAGCUGAUCAAAUAGGUACAGAUCAAAGAGGCUCAAACCAGAGGGGAACCAAAGAGAAUAUGAUUUGCAUAGGUGAUGGUGCCACAGAUGGCCAGGGGUCAUGUUCCUUACUGGCUGUUUGGGCUUGGGCAAGACAAUGAAAAUAUUUAAGUCUCAUUUUCUUUCCCUGUAAAUGGGGAGAAUAAUAACAAAUGAUAUCUGCUGCUAUUGUUAUUUGGCCAAAAUAAUUAUCCUAGGCUUGAAAUGGUACUGAUGAAAAGAAAGUGUAUAUAAGAUCUAGUAGUUGAUAGCACAACAGAGUGACUAUAGUCAAUAAUAAUUUAAUCGUACAUUUAAAAAUAAUUAAAAGAGUAGAACUGGAUUUUUCAUAACACAAAGGAUAAAUGUUUGAGGUGAUGGAUACCCCAUUUACCCUGAUGUAAUUAUUGCACAUUAUGUGCCUGUAUCAAAAUAUCCCAUAUCCCCCAUAAAUGUAUAUACUUGCU